rnacentral:misc_RNA from 1 species
UGUGGGAGCGAGCUUGCUCGCGAUGGCGUCGGAUCUGCCAACGUCGAUGUCGACUGAUACACCGCUAUCGCGAGCAAGCUCGCUCCCACA